CAAUUGCUUAGAAGCCAUGGUGGAAACAUGUCUACCGGGCUCCGAGCAUGCUCAGGCGCGCGCUCCACCACCAGUCCCUGACCGGCAGGAUACUUCAGGGUCAUCGCACCGCCCGCCACCAUCGCUAUACUGCUCAGCGCAGGACCCUUAGCAGAACGAGAUUUUCUGUAAUGAAACGACGGUGUUAUAACUUACAAUUAUAACACUAUUAACGGAGCCAACAUUUAACCUAGUUUAAAACCCACAAUCAAACUUGAUUUAAAUAGUACCUUAUUUAGUAUUUAGGUUUUAAAAUGUGCUCUAAAGGCCAGAGCACAUCGUAUGCGUGCGUGUGACGUGCACGUGUGCAAAUAGUUACAGCCGCAGGGCUCGGAACCGGUAUUUUUUUAAAACCCCGAAUUAGCCCAACAUUUUGAAUUAUUUUAUGCUCUUUACGUGGGACUGAAUCAUGUAUUAAGGUAACAACUUUGUGUUAUUAGAUUGUCCCAUUAAAAAUGAAAUAAUAAACCAAAGAACGAAAAAGAACGUAAUAAUACCGGUAUUUUUGUAUGGAGCAAAUACCGGUUUCCGACCCCUGUACAGCCGUGCUCAAGCGGUGUGCCGUCCAGGGCUCGGAACCGGUAUUGAAAUACCCGUUAACUUCGUUCCAAAACCGUUAUAUUAUUACGUUCAUUAAAAAACCGGUUAAUUGAUGGAACGCGAACUAAAAAAAUAUGUUCUCUCUCCUAACCGGUAAGAAGAGGGAACAGAACUUUAUGGUUCGCAGGGAACGAUAUAAUACCGGUUACUCUUGGCUUUCGGAGACUCUCGGUUAGACUCGUUGUCAUACGUGAAAGAGAUAGCAACACUCACUCGUUCCGUCUCGCUUCGAUAUUUUCAAUUUAAUCGGUUAAUUUCGUUCCACAAAAACAGAAAGCUAACGAAUUAGGCUUAAAUUAGUAUCUUAAUAGAACAGUUCUUUAACCGGUAACCGCGAACGGAAACGAAAUCCUUUUCGUUCCCGGGUGAAUGAACGAAACCGGUCUGAAAAAUAAAACGGUUUUCGAGCCCUGGUGCCGUCUCUCAUACGUAUGUGUGUAUACAAUGCGCACGAGCGUGUCUCCUCACACGCACCUUGUGCACUGUAUGUAUGUAUGUAAAAAAAGAGGUUUGCACUCCGGGAGUGCCGGCAGAAGUGAAACUCAAUGACAUUGUAACAGUUUUUCGAUCAUGUCACGUGUCCGUCUUACGAAGCAUUUUACGUCUUACGCUCUCGCGAGUUUAACAUUUAUUCCCCAUCACAAAAAGUGCACAGCGCCGCUAAAGAAGUUUUCACUUCAACAAGUUGUUUUUAAGUAUGUACGAAAAUAAUGAAAAUCCUAUUGUAAUUUUAAAUUGCGUCACAUAUAGAUAGAUGUUUUACAAACUAAGCGUAAGCGCACAUUAAAAAUUGUCUUACUUUUUUUGAUCUUGAAUUACGUUUUGCAGUUUAAGCACAAAGAUGUGUGAGGCGCACAGAAACGGUCACCAGAUACUGGAGCGUAAUAAGUUUUAUUAGGAAUAUUAGGAUAAAUGCACAAAAUAUAAAAUAGUGAUCUCACUUACUAUAAAAAUUGAACUUAUUAAAAUGCAUUUAAUAUUCAGAUCAAAUGAACAAAUUGAAAGAUCAGAACAAAUAUAUCUAGGAAUUAUAUCCUUCCUAUACAAAGCUAG